GCUGGUGUGGCUCAGUGGUAGAGCGUUGGCCCUCACACCAAAGGGUCUCCAGUCAAGGGCACAUACCUGGGUUGCAGGUUCACUCCCAGCCCCCAGCU
rfam:Myotis davidii contig146365, whole genome shotgun sequence.